CCCUUAACUAUUAAAAGUUUCGUUUUGAUCCCUUAACUUAUUUUUUGGUUUCGUUUUGGUCACUUAACUUAUUUUUUGAUUUUGUUUUGGUCUUUAACUCUAAUACAUUCAUCCUAACAUAAAGGACCAAAGUGGUUGACGAGGAAGAGUUAAGGGACCAAAACGAAACCAAAAAAUAAAUUAAGGGAUCAAAACGAAACUUUUAAUAGUUAAGGGACCAAACGAAAUCAAAAAGUAAGUUAAGGGACCAACCAAACUUUUAAUAGUUAAGGGA
rnacentral:pre_miRNA from 1 species